CUCGCUGACGAGCGGCGGACGGGUGAGUAAUACUUAGGAAUCUACCUAGUAGUGGGGGAUAGCUCGGGGAAACUCGAAUUAAUACCGCAUACGACCUACGGGAGAAAGGGGGCAACUUGUUGCUCUCGCUAUUAGAUGAGCCUAAGUCGGAUUAGCUAGAUGGUGGGGUAAAGGCCUACCAUGGCGACGAUCUGUAGCUGGUCUGAGAGGAUGAUCAGCCACACCGGGACUGAGACACGGCCCGGACUCC
rnacentral:rRNA from 1 species